AGCAGUAGCGCGGUAAUACGAAGGGUGCAAGCGUUAAUCGGAAUUACUGGGCGUAAAGCGUGCGUAGGCGGUUUGUUAAGUCUACUGUGAAAUCCCCGGGCUCAACCUGGGAAUGGCAGUGGAUACUGGCAAGCUAGAGUGUGUCAGAGGAUGGUGGAAUUCCCGGUGUAGCGGUGAAAUGCGUAGAGAUCGGGAGGAACAUCAGUGGCGAAGGCGGCCAUCUGGGACAACACUGACGCUGAGGCACGAAAGCGUGGGGAGCAAACAGGAUUAGAGACCCCCGUAGUCCCUGUCUCUUAUACC
rnacentral:rRNA from 1 species